UAAAGAGAAAAGGGCUAUGUGGAGGGUCUCAGUGAGCCUCUGAGGCUAGCAUAAACCGCCUGGAAGCGCGGGACCCACAGGGACAAGGUCGGAGCUCUACCACACAGUGUACACUUUGAAACAACUCCAUUGUGUUUGUCAAUGAUCCUCAGUAGUAAUCAUAAAGGUACAGCAAAUAAUACAAAAUUAGUAGGCGCAUUGUCAGUGUUACAUUCAUAAUGUGCACCGAGCAGUUCAUAAGACCCCCAAACUGCAGGGGCAGGUAGAACCCAGUACACCACAACACAUUACAGUGACCCACUCUUAGAGCUCUUUCAAAGCCUCCUUGAGCCAUAUAGCUUCACAGCUUUUUAGCUUUUUUGGUAGCUCUUGUAUCUAUCUAGACAGCGACUCCACCGCGACCCUGGAGGCAACUUUUCCUCCUUUGCCUCACAGAUAUUACGCAGGAUCCAGCAGGCAGCUAUAACCACUAGAAUAUUUUUCUCACUCAACUCCAGUCUUGUGAGUAAACCACUCCAGGGCCCUUUCCAUCUACUAAAAGCACAUUCAACGGUCAUUCAGCACCUACUGAGCUGGUAGUUGAACUUUUCUUGAUGCUGUCAUGGUGAUUGGUGUAUGGCUUCAUGAGCCAAGGGAAUAAGGAGUAGGGUGGGUCCCCAGGAUCACUAUUGGCAUUUCAACAUUGUCAAUAGUAAUCAUCUGGUUGGGAAAGAAACUCCCUGCUUGUACCUUUCUGAACAGUGCUGUGUUCUUAGAGAUGCAAGCAGCAUGCACCUUCCCUUGACCAGACAACACUGAUGUUGGUGAAGUGUCACCAGUGAGCCACCAACGCUUGCAUAACCAUAUGAAAAUAGCCUUUUCUGUUUGACAUACUCUGUGAUAAGGUGGUCUUGUGCCGAAAUAGGGAUAAGCAUGCUGUCUGUGGCUCCACCGCUGUUUGUGAACCCCAUUGCUGCAAAGCCAUCCAGUAUGUCUUGCACAAUGCCAAGAGUCACAGUCCUACUUGAUUAGUAGCCAGGCACACUUGCAUGACAGCAAUCCCCACACUGGAUUUGCCAACUCCAAAGUGAUUUCUCACUGACUGGUAGCAAUCUGGCAUUGCAAAUUUCCACAGUGCGAUUGCCGUUUGCUUCACCACUAUCUGUGCAGCUCUCAUUCUGGUGUCCUUGUGCUGGAGGGCUGGGGUGAGCUUGGCACAUGAAUCCAGCAGUGUGGCCUUGAUGGAUCCAAAAUUUCUUUAGCCACCACUGCUCAUGAUCCCCAACUUGCAUUAUGAUGGAUCCCACCAGUCAGUGCUUGUUUCUUGGGCCCAGAAGUGGUGCUCUUCUGUUUGUAGCUGCUCCUUGAAUGCCACUAACAAUCUUGAAUUGGUUCUCCCUCUGUUCCACAGCAGUCUGAUCUCCAGGAAAUCAUCAUAUUCCCUGCAGCAAUUCUUGUGGCUCUACAGAUACUGGCGGAUCGGGCAUCCGGUGCUUGCAACACUCGUGACAAUAGUGCAGAGCUGUGCAGGCUCCAUACUUCUGUCAGAGAUGGCAGACAGUGACAAGUCCCACUCAGGAGCUCGAAUCCCAUCUCCAGUACAGAAGUGGCCUGUCAAGGAAACUGAGGCAGAAUUUGCUGGAUGAUGUAAUGGGACUGUAACCUUCAAGUUAAACUAAAGAUAAGUGUCCCUGUUAUGAUGACAGCUUGUACAUUUAUGGGAUUUGAAACAGACUCAUGAUCCAUCUUCCAGCAUCCUGCCUCCAAUAGAGGACAAUGCCAGAUGUCUCACCAAAAGGCUAUCUAGAUAGUGAAGCACAUGCAGUUGCUAUAUGGUUGACAUGGCUGCAUACUUCGAAGAGAGAAGCACCUGCAUUUUAGAAGGAUUUCUUUUAAAGGUAAAUUAUGCUUGUCUGCAUAUAAACUCUGUGAGGCCAGCAAAUGACAGAUUCAUGUACUUGUUUAAUAUGAAUUGUAAUCAGUAAGGACCAGAGCUUAUUCACACUGGAGUUAAGAAGAGUUUGGACAUUAGCUUCAUUGAGAGCAGGAUUCAGUGAUGAUAAUACCUUGCUCUUAUGUAGCACUCUCCAUCAGGAGAUCUCAAAGCCCUUUACAAAAGAAGUAGUAUUAUGCUAAUUUCAUAUAUGAGGAAAAUGACUUGCCUAAGGUCACUCCACAGGCCAAGUUGGGGGCAGAAGCCAGGACUCCUAGGCCAGUAUGCUAGCUACUAGGCCACUGCCUCUCACAGAUAAGUGAAUACAAACUACUUAGAAAUUGCUUACGUUUCUGCCUUUUCUUUUUAAAGGGCCUUAACAAAUGCUAAUAAUGGCCCAGGUAUAUCCGCCAUGACAAUGCAUGGCUGUUCUAUAGCAUAAAACAUUUCAAGGGUCCUAAAGUGCUUUGUCCAUUUAUUAAAGCUAGACUCAGGACCACUGAAGCCAAUGGAAGUUUUGCCAUUGACUUCAGUAGAAGGAGGUUCAGGCCCUAAGCCUCUCAUCCCCUUGAGGUUGGUGGUAUUAUGUGUAUCUGACAGAUGGGUAAACUGAGGCACAAAGGGUCAGGGCCUGAUUUUCAGAGGCACU